rnacentral:rRNA from 1 species
UAAGAUAGAGGUCCCGCCUGCCCUGUGACUAUAAGUUUAACGGCCGCGGUAUUUUGACCGUGCGAAGGUAGCGCAAUCACUUGUCUUUUAAAUGAAGACCUGUAUGAAUGGCACCACGAGGGCUUAGCUGUCUCCUUUUUCCAGUCAAUGAAAUUGAUCUCCCCGUGCAGAAGCGGGGAUACGCACAUAAGACGAGAAGACCCUAUGGAGCUUUAGACACCAAGACAGAUCAUGUUAAACACCCCCUAAUAAAGGGCCAAACCAAAUGAGUCCUGUCCCCAUGUCUUUGGUUGGGGCGACCGCGGGGAAACAUAAAACCCCCACGUGGAAUGGGAGUACCCCCUCCUACAGCUAAGAGCUCCCGCUCUAGCAAACAGAAAUUCUGACCAACAAGAUCCGGCAACGCCGAUCAACGGACCGAGUUACCCUAGGGAUAACAGCGCAAUCCCCUUUUAGAGCCCAUAUCGACAAGGGGGUUUACGACCUCGAUGUUGGAUCAGGACAUCCUAAUGGUGCAGCCGCUAUUAAGGGUUCGUUUGUUCAACGAUUAAAGUCCUACGUGAUCUGAGUUCCAGACC